rnacentral:rRNA from 1 species
CCUACGGGUGGCAGCAGUGGGGAAUAUUGCACAAUGGGGGAAACCCUGAUGCAGCGACGCCGCGUGAGUGAAGAAGUAAUUCGUUAUGUAAAGCUCUAUCAGCAGGGAAGAAAAUGACGGUACCUGAGCAAGAAGCCCCGGCUAACUACGUGCCAGCAGCCGCGGUCAUACGUAGGGGGCAAGCGUUAUCCGGAUUUACGGGGUGUAAAGGGAGCGUAGACGGCAGUGCAUGCCUGGAGUGAAAGGCGGGGGCUCAACCCCCGGACUGCUCAGGAAACUGUACGGCUGGAGUGAAGGAGAGGGAAGUGGAAUUCCUGGUGUAGCAGUGAAAUGCGUAGAUAUUAGGAGGAACACCAGUGGCGAAGGCGGGUUACUGGACAGUAACUGACGUUGAGGCUCGAAGGCGAGGGGAGCGAACGGGAUUAGAUACCCGUGUAGUC